rnacentral:RNase_P_RNA from 2 species
GAAGUCGGCCAGACCGCCGCUGGCACAGGUCCCGAAAGGGCGUGCUGGAGGAAGGUCCGGACUGCACAGGGCAGCGCAGGAGCUAACGGCUCUCCACCGCGAGGUGAGGAUCAGAGCAACAGAGACGAGUCCGCUUGGGGCAACCCGAGCGGGGUGCAACGGGCAAUCUCUGCGCGCAGCAACACCAAGUAGGCACACGACGACGCGGCCCGCGGAGUGUGCGGGUAGGUGGCACCGAGCCGCGGUGGCGACACCCGGCCCAGAGGAAUGGCGGUCAUGGCGGGCUCUGCUUCGGGAGAGGCCGCCACACAGAAUCCGGCCUAUCGGCCGACUUCACCU